rnacentral:rRNA from 1 species
CCUACGGGGGGCAGCAGUGGGGAAUAUUGGGCAAUGGGCGCAAGCCUGACCCAGCAACGCCGCGUGAAGGAAGAAGGCUUUCGGGUUGUAAACUUCUUUUCUCAGGGACGAAGAAAGUGACGGUACCUGCGGAAUAAGCCACGGCUAACUACGUGCCAGCAGCCGCGGUAAUACGUAGGUGGCAAGCGUUAUCCGGAUUUACUGGGUGUAAAGGGCGUGUAGGCGGGAAAGCAAGUCAGAUGUGAAAACCAUAGGCUCAACCUGUGGCCUGCAUUUGAAACUGUUUUUCUUGAGUACUGGAGAGGCAGACGGAAUUCCUCGUGUAGCGGUGAAAUGCGUAGAUAUGAGGAGGAACACCAGUGGCGAAGGCGGUCUGCUAGACAGCAACUGACGCUGAGGCGCGAAAGCGUGGGGAGCAAACAGGAUUAGAUACCCUUGUAGUC